UACGUAGGGUGCAAGCGUUGUCCGGAAUUAUUGGGCGUAAAGAGCUCGUAGGCGGUCUGUCGCGUCGGCUGUGAAAACUUGGGGCUCAACCCCAAGCCUGCAGUCGAUACGGGCAGACUAGAGUGCGGUAGGGGAGACUGGAAUUCCUGGUGUAGCGGUGAAAUGCGCAGAUAUCAGGAGGAACACCGGUGGCGAAGGCGGGUCUCUGGGCCGGAUACUGACGCUGGAGGAG
rnacentral:rRNA from 1 species